UGGCCCGUGGUGUAAUCGGCAACACACCUGUUUUUGGUACAGGCAUUCAAGGUUCGAGUCCUUGCGGGCCAG
rnacentral:tRNA from 1 species